AACGAACGCUGGCAGCAGGCUUAACACAUGCAAGUCGAACGAUGUAGCAAUACAUAGUGGCGCACGGGUGAGUAACGCGUGGGAAUAUACCUUAUAGUGGGGAAUAACUUUGGGAAACUAAAGCUAAUACCGCAUACGCCCGAGAGGGGAAAGAUUUAUCGCUAUAAGAUUAGCCCGCGUGAGAUUAGGUAGUUGGUGGGGUAAUGGCCUACCAAGCCUACGAUCUCUAGCUGGUCUGAGAGGAUGAUCAGCCACACUGGAACUGAGACACGGUCCAGACUCCUACGGGAGGCAGCAGUGGGGAGUAUUGGGCAAUGGAGGAAACUCUGACCCAGCCAUGCCGCGUGAAUGAUGAAGGCCUUAGGGUUGUAAAGUUCUUUCGCCGAUGAAGAUAAUGACGGUAGUCGGAGAAGAAGCCCCGGCUAACUUCGUGCCAGCCGCCGCAGUAA
rnacentral:rRNA from 1 species